GCCCUAGUUCAACUAUGGCCUAAGUGGUUAGAGCGUCCGCUUUGGAUGCAAGGGUCGCGGGUUUGAACCCCGGCUGAGGCA